AGCGAACGCUGGCGGCAGGCCUAACACAUGCAAGUCGAACGAACCCUUCGGGGUUAGUGGCGGACGGGUGAGUAACACGUGGGAACGUGCCUUUAGGUUCGGAAUAACUCAGGGAAACUUGUGCUAAUACCGAAUGUGCCCUUCGGGGGAAAGAUUUAUCGCCUUUAGAGCGGCCCGCGUCUGAUUAGCUAGUUGGUGAGGUAAUGGCUCACCAAGGCUACGAUCAGUAGCUGGUCUGAGAGGAUGACCAGCCACAUUGGGACUGAGACACGGCCCAAACUCCUACGGGAGGCAGCAGUGGGGAAUCUUGCGCAAUGGGCGAAAGCCUGACGCAGCCAUGCCGCGUGGAUGAUGAAGGUCUUAGGAUUGUAAAAUCCUUUCACCGGUGAAGAUAAUGACUGUAGCCGGAGAAGAAGCCCCGGCUGACUUCGUGCCAGCCGCCGCGUAAGAC
rnacentral:rRNA from 1 species